rnacentral:rRNA from 1 species
GAUGAACGCUGGCGGCGUGCCUAAUACAUGCAAGUCGAGCGAACAGAUGAGGAGCUUGCUCCUCUGACGUUAGCGGCGGACGGGUGAGUAACACGUGGAUAACCUACCUAUAAGACUGGGAUAACUUCGGGAAACCGGAGCUAAUACCGGAUAAUAUAUUGAACCGCAUGGUUCACAAGUGAAAGACGGUUUUGCUGUCACUUAUAGAUGGAUCCGCGCCGCAUUAGCUAGUUGGUAAGGUAACGGCUUACCAAGGCAACGAUGCGUAGCCGACCUGAGAGGGUGAUCGGCCACACUGGAACUGAGACACGGUCCAGACUCCUACGGGAGGCAGCAGUAGGGAAUCUUCCGCAAUGGGCGAAAGCCUGACGGAGCAACGCCGCGUGAGUGAUGAAGGUCUUCGGAUCGUAAAACUCUGUUAUUAGGGAAGAACAAAUGUGUAAGUAACUAUGCACGUCUUGACGGUACCUAAUCAGAAAGCCACGGCUAACUACGUG